AUUGAACGCUGGCGGCAUGCCUUACACAUGCAAGUCGAACGGCAGCACGGGAGCAAUCCUGGUGGCGAGUGGCGAACGGGUGAGUAAUAUAUCGGAACGUGCCCAGUCGUGGGGGAUAACGCAGCGAAAGCUGUGCUAAUACCGCAUACGAUCUAAGGAUGAAAGCGGGGGAUCGCAAGACCUCGCGCGAUUGGAGCGGCCGAUAUCAGAUUAGCUAGUUGGUGGGGUAAAGGCCCACCAAGGCGACGAUCUGUAGCUGGUCUGAGAGGACGACAAGCCACACUGGAACUGAGACACGGUCCAGACUCCUACGGGAGGCAGCAGUGGGGAAUUUUGGACAAUGGGCGCAAGCCUGAUCCAGCAAUGCCGCGUGCAGGAUGAAGGCCUUCGGGUUGUAAACUGCUUUUGUACGGAGCGAAAAGGUCUCCUCUAAUACAGGGGGCUCAUGACGGUACCGUAAGAAUAAGCACCGGCUAACUACGUGCCAGCCGCCGCCGUAA
rnacentral:rRNA from 1 species